rnacentral:rRNA from 1 species
UACGUAGGGACCAAGCGUUGUUCGGAUUUACUGGGCGUAAAGGGCCAGUAGGCGGCCAACUAAGUCACACGUGAAAUCCCCAGGCUUAACCUGGGAACUGCGUGUGAUACUGGAUGGCUUGAAUUCGGGAGAGGGAUGCAGAAUUCCAGGUGUAGCGGUGAAAUGCGUAGAUAUCUGGAGGAAUACCGGUGGCGAAGGCGGCAUCCUGGACCGACAUUGACGCUGAACGGCGAAAGCUAGGGGAGCAAACGGG